GGUGCGUUGAAAGUUGUUAAUAAAGUUUCAUUUGAAAAAAACAAAGAACGAAGCAUAUCCACAAUUACGAAGGUAAGAUCAUUAAUGUGAAUGUUAGCAUGUUUGUGUACUGGCAUAAUGUGUAGUAAGUGCUAACACUGUGUUUCUAUUUGUUUCUUUCUAUCACUGUCACAAUUUUCAAUGUCAGUACGAAAGAAGGAUUCCAGCGGAGAGAUUAGCGUUAGAGCUGAGUGCUUCAGAUCAAUGAGGACAAAACAAAAGCCUCACAGUCUGAGUGUAAGGGAAAGUUAUGCAGCAGGUUCAUGACAGAUUUCUGUUCAUCAAAUCAAGUUUCUGUGAAUCAUAUAGGUGCCACGAGUACUGCUAAAAGCUACUUAUAAAUAUAUACAUAAUUUGAUAAACAAUUCAUAACAUUACUGUGUGAAAAUAGGCAAUGGGAUUCACAGAAACUAGAUACUAACAGUCUGUGUUUUACCACUUUUCAAUAUUAUGUGCGUCUCAUAUUCAUUAGUAAAGAGAGACUGAGAUCAGAUAUUGUUUGGCUAAAUGUAUUUAGUUAUUAUCUUCCUUUUUCUAUAAUUGUUCCUUCUAUAACACAUUUUCAUUAAGUAUUUAAAGUUAAACUGCACUUGCAGCAAGUACAGUAUGUAUUGUACAACAUUGUAACAAAUUUGUGUAUUUUCCCAGAUUGCACUAAGGGAUACCCGUCCUGUGCAGCUACAAAGCUGCCAGUGUACCUGUGUGGCUGGUGCAGCCUUGUGCAACCAUGUGGCAGCACUAUUAUACCAGACUGCACACUAUUCUCAGCUCAACAUCACCACUGUCCCCCCAGUGCACAGCUGCACAGAGACAGAACAGCAGUGGCAUAAACCAAGAACCAUGGGUGUUAAACCUGGUCCUGUAAAUGAAAUGGUCAUCCUUUCAGCCAGACCCAAGGAAAGAAGACUUACACAGGGAGUCAGGAGCAACUUAUAUAAAGGAGUCAGGGCGCGGUCACACUGGCCAUCCGUACCGUGCUCAAGCACGCUUCAACCCUAAAGUCCAGUUCAUUUGACCAGUGUGACUGCUCUGUAUCGUACUCGGGCACGGUACACUUCCUUGGCUUUGGCACACUUCAGAGAGGUGUGCUUCAGCACGGUACACUUCAUGCACGAGCACAA